UAAAAUCCAAGGAGCGUGGUAUGGCUAC
rnacentral:piRNA from 1 species